AGCUCCAAUAGCGUAUAUUAAUGUUGUUGCAGUUAAAAAGCUCGUAGUUGGAUUUCUGGUCGGUUCGUCUAUCCGGGUCAGCAAUGGCUCGUGUGUGCCGCAACCUGCCAUCCUCAGGUGUUCUUUUCACUGGCAUUCAGUUGUCGGUGGCUUGAUGCCUGUCGUUUACUGUGAACAAAUUAGAGUGUUCAAAGCAAGGUGUUCUUGAAUACAUUAGCAUGGAAUAAUAAGAUAGGACUCUGGUGGUUCUUUUUGAUAUUUUGUUGGUUUGCACGCCAAAGUAAUGAUUAAUAGGAGCAGUUGGGGGUAUUCGUAUUCAAUUGUCAGAGGUGAAAUUCUUGGAUUUAUAGAAGACGAACUACUGCGAAAGCAUUUACCAAGGAUGUUUUCA
rnacentral:rRNA from 1 species